rnacentral:miRNA from 1 species
GUUCGGGGAUCCUGGGGUCUGGGGAAUCCCGGACGAGCCCCCAAAUGUAAUGCCAGAUUCAUGGGAACCCAGUAGACCUCCAGGAGCCGAAUCCGAUGCAAUCACACGAGAGUCU